AACGAACGCUGGCGGCAGGCUUAACACAUGCAAGUCGAGCGCCCCGCAAGGGGAGCGGCAGACGGGUGAGUAACGCGUGGGAACGUACCCUUUGCUACGGAAUAGCUCCGGGAAACUGGAAUUAAUACCGUAUGUGCCCUACGGGGGAAAGAUUUAUCGGCAAAGGAUCGGCCCGCGUUGGAUUAGCUAGUUGGUGGGGUAAUGGCCUACCAAGGCGACGAUCCAUAGCUGGUCUGAGAGGAUGAUCAGCCACAUUGGGACUGAGACACGGCCCAAACUCCUACGGGAGGCAGCAGUGGGGAAUAUUGGACAAUGGGCGCAAGCCUGAUCCAGCCAUGCCUCGUGAGUGAUGAAGGCCUUAGGGUUGUAAAGCUCUUUCACCGGAGAAGAUAAUGACGGUAUCCGGAGAAGAAGCCCCGGCUAACUUCGUGCCAGCAGCCGCAGUAAUAC
rnacentral:rRNA from 1 species